AGGAUACUUAAAUGCUUAAAUCCUAUUGGUGCAAAUAUACAUGCUGCAGGAAUAGCGCAGUUUCGUCGGUGUGGGGAGGGCUACAGCGUUUUCCCGUCGAUUCUAGGCCUAAAACGUAAUGACUACCCUGUAGGUGGCUCCUAGGCCUAGGGACCUGGUAUGGCACCCUACAUGCAAUAUAUGUACUGCCCUUUCAUCUGGUGACCAGGUAGAGUGCCUUGCAGCUAUGCAGACAAACAAAUGAGUGGGAAAGAAGAGAGUUUACCUGCUCUACCCACAUUGAAGGAAAGAAGGGAGACAGCUGCAGUUUAAGACUUCCUCAAGGAGGACCAUCCUCUUCACAACAAGGACUUUGGCCACAGGGUGGAACUUAAGAAACAGUACAGCUAUCAAAAUCCUAACAGCCAACACAAAGAGACUCAAGAACUUAUUCCUUCUUCAAGCCAUCCAUCUGUAUAACAAUUUGGUCCAUAUAUCAAAUUAAUUCGUUUUUCUUUGUAUGUAUAAAUUUAUUACCCUGGGUAUUACCUAUAAAUGUAUAGGAUGUCAGAAGCAUCGUACAGCAUUGUUUUGUUAUGUAUUGUUAUAGAACACCAUUAGUUACAUGUAUGUAUAUAACGUAAAAGUUCAACACAAUUCAAAUGUUCCUUGUACUCCUUCCAGGUUGAUUUUAUAUAAUAAAUUGUUAGCCGGGAUGCCAGAACCAUAGCAUGAUAGACCCAGAGGGUAAACUCAUGGGAAUGUUGGCCUUGGAGCAAGGGAACUGGCCUGUGUAGGCGCUGGUAACAGUCUGUCACCCAGGUUACUACAAGGUAAAAAACAUAUCCCGUACGGUACUUCAAGGUAUAAUGGGAUAUCCUUUGCAUGAUUUUAUCAGACCAGAUAUAGGUGACAUCUUCAACCUCUAGUGCCAUGGAUACAAUUUUUAAGAGAAAAAAAAGCACUUGUAUUUACAUCUUUGACAUGCAUGCAAUAUUAGGUUUUAAUCGUUGUAAUAUGAAAGAAUUGUUGUAUACUUAGGUAACUCAAAUGUUUAUAGUAACUUCCCAUAAUUAGUAGGUACCAAGGAAUAAGGGUAACAGUUGUAUCUACUCGUCCCCGGAAGGUCUUGCAUAAGGGGUCCACGAUAACGUAAUCUCCAAGCAGAUCAUACGGUGGCAAGGCAAUGUCCAUUGGUGAGAGGAGUAUGGACACUCCUCUGACCAAUGGACAUUGCCUUGCCACCGUAUGAUCUGCUUGGAGUUAAUUAGUAACACACAUGUUCGGAGAGGAAAAUUUAUAGCCCCGAAGGGAACCAGGCCCCAACAACGAUGGACUGGCAUCCAGCUUGUCGAUCCGAUUUUAUGGGAGAUAAAGAGGAUGACACUCUCUGGUAACACCAAAACUGAUGCGAGCGUGCGAAUGAAAAAAAAUAAAGUUUGUAAAAAAAAGUUGUCUUCAUUCUGAAAUCUGUCGUGGUCAUGAAGGUUGAACAAAUGACUAAACACACAGGGUACUAUUUCAUUGGCAAGGCGAAUAAGAGACAUUUCAUUCCUUCUAACACAUUUUCUUCUUGCUCAUUUCGAGCUAAUUUGUACGAUUUACAGUAUAGUAGAAGACAUUUUUUGGAAACGAUUGAAAAUCCAUGCAGGCGUGGAAAUCCA